GGUAGUAUGGCUGAUAAAAGCGGUAAUUUGUAAAAUUACAUAUAGGUAUUCCUUGCUGCCA
rnacentral:tRNA from 1 species